AAGCCAGACUCCUACGGGAGGCAGCAGUGGGGGAUAUUGCACAAUGGGGGAAACCCUGAUGCAGCGACGCCGCGUGGGUGAAGAAGCGCCUCGGCGCGUAAAGCCCUGUCAGCAGGGAAGAAAAUGACGGUACCUGAAGAAGAAGCCCCGGCUAACUACGUGCCAGCAGCCGCGGUAAUACGUAGGGGGCAAGCGUUAUCCGGAUUUACUGGGUGUAAAGGGGGCGCAGACGGCGAUGCAAGCCAGGAGUGAAAGCCCGGGGCCCAACCCCGGGACUGCUCUUGGAACUGCGUGGCUAGAGUGCAGGAGGGGCAGGCGGAAUUCCUGGUGUAGCGGUGAAAUGCGUAGAUAUCAGGAGGAACACCGGUGGCGAAGGCGGCCUGCUGGACUGCAACUGACGUUGGGGCCCGAAAGCGUGGGGAGCAAACAGGAUUAGAUACCCUGGUA
rnacentral:rRNA from 1 species